UCCUUUUUAUAUUUCUUGCUCAUGUGGAGAACAUAUUUGAGUCAUGGCUGAGGUUAUUGCAUUUUUUUCUGCACUGCCAUGUUGUGAUGCUACAGAGGACAAAAAAACACCGGCUGAAACUGAUUGUGCAAAACUUCUCUUGCGGUUAUACUGCAAACCUGAGGUUUAAUAAUGUGCAAAACCAGGAUGUGGUACCAGCAGGUUAAAAUGAGUCAAAACUGUUUGGAACGGCGUUCCGACACCUUUGGAUAUUGAGCAAUUAAAUCUAAUAGACAGAUUAAUGCGUAUUACUCUCGAAUGAGUAUAUUUAUUGUGUGUUGCAGCUUGGCAUUUCUUCCAGUGAUGGCAUGGAGAUACUUGCAUAGUAAGAAGAAAAUAAUGUAUAGAUGAUGAAUAGAAUCUUAUUUUGUAUUUUGAUCGCUUGGAUUUUAUAGUUGUCACUAUAAGAGUAAUAUUUUGUUGAGGGAUAGAAAUUGAGAACUGUUUUUUUUUUCCAGAGUACCAGUUCCCAGUUAACCAAUUUCUUGGAAUUUUUUGUCUCCUUGCUUAUUGGUUCAAUUUUGUUCCUCCGCUAAAAAAUUUCUACAAUUUCAGUUCAGUGCAGUCUUGAGUGUGGAUAUGGACAUUACCUUUAUUUUUAUUGUACAAAAGGAUCAGAGUGCAAUGGUAAAGUGAAAACAACUGUAUUAUGCUGCUAACACAGCUUCAGCUCUUUGCAAGCAACUCCACAGACAGCAUGCUAACUCUAAGCUAGACAAGAACCCAGAGUGACAUUAAAGUUGAGUGUUUGCUCACCUCAGUCCAGCAGCCAGACUCUGAACUUCAACAGGUAACAAACUGAUGAGCAGUCAGGCUGCACCUCUGUACCUGUACAUUUUUUUUUUUUUUUACAGUAGAUUUACUUUAGUCUCUUUGUGUGGGGUUUUAUUUUUGGCCUGAGCUGCUGGCUUAAGAGAAAGAUUGCAUGUGUUUUCUCAUUAUGUAAUGUGUUUUGUGUAAUAUGUGCAAUACAUUUCUUUUUUGAGUAAUGACCCCAACUCUGAUCACAACAACGAGGGGAGAUACCUCCAACAGGCAUAAACAUUUGGCCACACAGCAUGCAAUUAGUUUGUACAAAUGUAAUGUCUUUGAUAUGCUGCUUAGCGAUGGUCGUGACUCUCUAAGUAGAGCCAACCCUAUGAACCCUAUGAGAAUCGAUAAUGGAAUCAGAAUGCUAAAUCCUUAUCUAUUCCCAGCCCUAAUUUUGCUACCGCCUGAUUACAUUAUGCAAUUCAGUUUUAUUUACAAAUGUCUUCCUGAAUUUAAAACAAUUCCAGUGCAAAUUGUUUAAAGAUUUUUGGUUCUUAUCAUUAUUUUUCCAGUGUCUCAGCCUUCAAGUGUGAUGCAAUGCUAUGGCUUGUGGGAGUGGGAGUGUACAAUUAUAG
ensembl:lncRNA